AUUGAACGCUGGCGGCGUGCCUAACACAUGCAAGUCGAGCGGUAACAGGUGUAGCAAUACAUGCUGACGAGCGGCGAACGGGUGAGUAAUGCUUCGGAAUCUACCUUAUGGUGGGGAAUAACUAGCCGAAAGGUUAGCUAAUACCGCAUACGUCCUACGGGAGAAAGCAGGGGAUCGCAAGACCUUGCGCCAAAAGAUGAGCCGAAGUCGGAUUAGCUAGUUGGUAGGGUAACGGCCUACCAAGGCGACGAUCCGUAGCUGGUCUGAGAGGACGACCAGCCACACUGGGACUGAGACACGGCCCAGACUCCUACGGGAGGCAGCAGUGGGGAAUAUUGGACAAUGGGGGAAACCCUGAUCCAGCGACGCCGCGUGUGUGAAGAAGGCCUGCGGGUUGUAAAGCACUUUUAGUGGGGAUGAAAUGUGCAGGGUUAAUACCUCUGCAUUUUGACCUAACCCACAGAAAAAGCACCGGCUAACUCUGUGCCAGCCGCCGCGGUAA
rnacentral:rRNA from 1 species